rnacentral:rRNA from 1 species
AUGGCGGCCGGCGCACGGGUGAGUAACACGUAUCCAACCUGCCGAUGACUCGGGGAUAGCCUUUCGAAAGAAAGAUUAAUACCCGAUGGCAUAGUUCUUCCGCAUGGUAGAACUAUUAAAGAAUUUCGGUCAUCGAUGGGGAUGCGUUCCAUUAGCUUGUUGGCGGGGUAACGGCCCACCAAGGCAUCGAUGGAUAGGGGUUCUGAGAGGAAGGUCCCCCACAUUGGAACUGAGACACGGUCCAAACUCCUACGGGAGGCAGCAG